rnacentral:rRNA from 1 species
ACUGCGAAUGGCUCAUUAUAUAAGUUAUCGUUUAUUUGAUAGUACCUUACUACUUGGAUAACCGUGGUAAUUCUAGAGCUAAUACAUGCUAAAAAUCCCGACUUCGGAAGGGAUGUAUUUAUUAGAUUAAAAACCAAUGCCCUUCGGGGCUCACUGGUGAUUCAUGAUAACUCCUCGAAUCGCAUGGCCUUGUGCCGGCGAUGGUUCAUUCAAAUUUCUUCCCUAUCAACUUUCGAUGUUUGGGUAUUGGCCAAACAUGGUUGCAACGGGUAACGGAGGGUUAGGGCUCGACCCCGGAGAAGGAGCCUGAGAAACGGCUACUACAUCCAAGGAAGGCAGCAGGCGCGCAAAUUACCCAAUCCCGACACGGGGAGGUAGUGACAAUAAAUACUGAUACAGGGCUCUUUUGGGUCUUGUAAUUGGAAUGAGUACAAUUUAAAUCCCUUAACGAGGAACAAUUGGAGGGCAAGUCUGGUGCCM